UGUGUCCUCCAGCAGGUCCAGCUUGCCUGUUAGAAGCAGCAUGAAGCAGGCUGCUCUGUAACUCUAACCUUCUCCAAAUUCGUCAGGGAAAUGAUUCAAGGCCUCCUGUGGAUCUUGCCACUUUGUCAAAGCCACUGGGGAACCAAACACACUGGGAGUCCACCCUGUUUCCUUGUGGACGAGCAAGGCAGCUCCUUUCACGUAAGGACCCUGCCCACUCCCAGCUCCACUUGCCUGGGCCACUGUCUCUUGACAAUCUGAACACAGCAUGGCAUUCAAUCUUCAGGAAAGCCCAACCCCAAGGGAGGAAUGCUCCAGUGGUCACACAAGAAAGAGACUAAGCACCAGAGAAGCUAAACAGCUGGCCGAGGCCUUGUAGAACAGCCUAGAAAAAUGAAGAGCUGGAAAAAUUGUUUAUCCAUAGGAAAAAAAAAUGAAAUUGGAUUCUUAGUCAUACCAGGCCAAAAAUCCACUCCAGAUGGAUGAAGAACUUAAAUGUCAAAAGCAAACUUUGAAACUUAAAAAGAAAAUGCUCUUCCCACACUGCCACAGAAGCUCCUCUGUCCAAUUAUUUGUGUUUGUUUUAACGACAGCAACUGGAAGAGUUUUCAAAAUAAAAUCUACCUUCAUCUCUGUAACAACAGACAUAUGGUUGAAUUAAACCUGAAUAAGAAGUUGGUAUAUUAA